GAUGAACGCUGGCGGCGUGCCUAAUACAUGCAAGUCGAGCGAACAGACGGGGAGCUUGCUCCUCUGACGUUAGCGGCGGACGGGUGAGUAACACGUGGAUAACCUACCUAUAAGACUGGGAUAACUUCGGGAAACCGGAGCUAAUACCGGAUAAUAUAUUGAACCGCAUGGUUCAAUAGUGAAAGACGGCUUUGCUGUCACUUAUAGAUGGAUCCGCGCCGCAUUAGCUAGUUGGUAAGGUAACGGCUUACCAAGGCAACGAUGCGUAGCCGACCUGAGAGGGUGAUCGGCCACACUGGAACUGAGACACGGUCCAGACUCCUACGGGAGGCAGCAGUAGGGAAUCUUCCGCAAUGGGCGAAAGCCUGACGGAGCAACGCCGCGUGAGUGAUGAAGGUCUUCGGAUCGUAAAACUCUGUUAUUAGGGAAGAACAAAUGUGUAAGUAACUAUGCACGUCUUGACGGUACCUAAUCAGAAAGCCACGGCUAACUACGUG
rnacentral:rRNA from 1 species